CCUUAGGCUGAUUAGUGCACAUGUAAGAAAAGAUGAUACUACAUUGUUAUUUAUUAUAGUGAUAUCCUGUUAUUCACUUAAUAUUGUCUUCUAUAGGAAAAAAUAUUUUUCUUUCUCUGUUGUGAAAAGUCGUAAUUCUCAGGAAGUGAAUAUAGAGCCACAUGGGCUUUUAUCCACAAGACUGGAUACCGUGUAGCAUUUAAUCAGAGUAGCAGCAAAACUGUAUGUGAGGCUGCAAGUGAACUUGCAAUAUCUCCAGGCACAGCAAAACAAGUUAAGGACAAAACAAGGUCUGAUCAAAUACUGCUUCACCCUCUGCUCUUGGUUUUGCUUUCUAUUGUUGAAUGAAGUCAAAUGCAGUGUUUUAUUUGAAUGCUUUGUGCAGUGUUUCUACAUUUUAAGUUGUAACAGUAAACACUAUCAUUUAUGGUCACACUGGAGAGCUUUACUGUUUAUAUACACAUGCAGUAAGCAUGUGUAAAUAAGCAGGUGAGCAAGAGCUCACAGGCCUUUAUGAGUGCAUAAAACAAAGGUGGAGAUGACAGCUGCCACCUCUCUGCAAUAUACUGCAUAAACAAGGUAUUGUCUACAAGUCUCUCAUCACUGUUUGGGAUCACCUCUCCUGCCCUGCUUGCCUGUGCUUCAUGGUGUGGCUCCCUGUUGGGCUGCAUAAGCAGGUGAGGGCACUAAUCCCUAUGGGUGAAAGAAGGUGGCUUACUCAUUCAGUGGCAGUGAGAUGUGAUUGCUCAAACUCAGCAUUGCAGUGCAGCUUUCAAAACAAAGGGGAGGCCCCUCAUUGUCUCUCACUUUGGCAAAGGAUUUGGACAACAGGUUUUGGUCUCGUGGCUGAUACAACAUGGAUUGAGUGGAUGCUGUGGUCCCAGUCUCUGCUACAUGGCUUGACCCAAUACAGACAACCAUCUGCUCUGACCAUGGCAUUGGUACCAGACCAACCCACUGUUUCCCAGCAAAGAACUUCAAAUUUCCCUGUUUUUCUUCUCAAAAUGUUCCUGAGCUUGACUCUCCCUACGUAAUGCCAACCCCUCUCUGCAUUUCCUUCCUUGUUUGUUUAUUAAAUCUAAA
rnacentral:lncRNA from 1 species